rnacentral:miRNA from 15 species
CCUUAUCAUUCUCUCGCCCCGU